rnacentral:SRP_RNA from 1 species
GAGUUUAAGGAUAAGAUCCGCUGCCCCUUUUUCAGGCGACGUGCCACGGACGUGCUUGAGGCAAUGCUUGUGGUGGGACGUUUCAUUCUGGCACGCCAUAAGUCGUUGAUCAGCAUGGCUCCAAAACACAGUAGAGGAGGUGCUAAAGCAGUUGGGAUGACC